rnacentral:rRNA from 2 species
UGGGGAAUCUUCCGCAAUGGGCGAAAGCCUGACGGAGCAACGCCGCGUGGGUGAAGAAGGCCUUCGGGUUGUAAAGCCCUGUCUUCAGGGACGAAGAAAGUGACGGUACCUGAGGAGGAAGCCACGGCUAACUACGUGCCAGCAGCCGCGGUAAUACGUAGGUGGCGAGCGUUGUCCGGAAUCACUGGGCGUAAAGGGCGCGUAGGCGGACUUUUAAGUCAGAUGUGAAAACUCCGGGCUUAACCCGGAGAUUGCAUCUGAUACUGGGGGUCUUGAGUGCAGGAGAGGACAGUGGAAUUCCUAGUGUAGCGGUGAAAUGCGUAGAUAUUAGGAGGAACACCAGUGGCGAAGGCGGCUGUCUGGACUGUAACUGACGCUGAGGCGCGAAAGCGUGGGUAGCAAACAGG